rnacentral:lncRNA from 1 species
CGUUAUUUAGUUUUUAUGCUAUGCUAUAGUAGACAGGGUUUUGGUAUGAGUGUUCAUGAGUGAUGUGACAAGGUGGACUUUACGUGAAUGAUGAAAACUUCAUGAUGGCAUCUUCAAGGCUUCCAUAUUCAGGACCUCAAGACUUCAAGACUCGAGACAAGAUUUCAAUACACACUACUUGGUGGAAUGGAUCGAGCGACACCCCAGAGAUUUACCAUGUGGGAUAGCCACGCCACCCCAGAGAUCUACCUUGUGG